UUCUUGCUGGCGACCGGCGCACGGGUGAGUAACACGUAUCCAACCUACCCUUUACUCGGGGAUAGCCUUUCGAAAGAAAGAUUAAUACCCGAUAGCAUAAUGAUUCCGCAUGGUUUCAUUAUUAAAGGAUUCCGGUAAAGGAUGGGGAUGCGUUCCAUUAGGUUGUUGGUGGGGUAACGGCCCACCAAGCCUUCGAUGGAUAGGGGUUCUGAGAGGAACGGUCCCCCACAUUGGAACUGAGACACGGUCCAAACUCCUACGGGAGGCAGCAUG
rnacentral:rRNA from 1 species